CGACGGGCUAGGGGGGGAGUUGACGUGCUCUGUAUUUCACAAAUCGUCGAAAAUGGUGACCCGAAGUCCGAGGGCGGCGCAACCGAAUCUUUGAGAAUUCGUUGGUUGACUAAGAUGUCUCGCCCCCAAGAGAUCCAGGUUGGCUCUAGCCCAUUCCGGAGGGAAUUGGCGACCGUCUUAUGCCCGGGAACCAGGUCAGGCGCGGAAGCGAGCAACCCGACCGGGGAUGCUGGAUGCCUUGGGAUUGCGGGAUUGAGAAAACUAACGUUCUGUUCUUUCUGAUUACGAGCGUCCACCGAGGACAUGCCCAUCA
rfam:Euryarchaeota archaeon TMED173 81781, whole genome shotgun sequence.